rnacentral:rRNA from 1 species
GAUGAACGCUGGCGGCGUGCCUAAUACAUGCAAGUCGAGCGGAUGGAAGGAAGCUUGCUUCCUAAAGUCAGCGGCGGACGGGUGAGUAACACGUGGGCAACCUGCCCCUAAGAUCGGGAUAACUUCGGGAAACCGGAGCUAAUACCGGAUAUGAUUAUGUCUCACAUGAGACAUAAUGGAAAGACGGUUUCGGCUGUCACUUAGGGAUGGGCCCGCGGCGCAUUAGCUAGUUGGUGAGGUAACGGCUCACCAAGGCGACGAUGCGUAGCCGACCUGAGAGGAUGAUCGGCCACACUGGGACUGAGACACGGCCCAGACUCCUACGGGAGGCAGCAGUAGGGAAUCUUCCGCAAUGGACGAAAGUCUGACGGAGCAACGCCGCGUGAGUGAAGAAGGUUUUCGGAUCGUAAAACUCUGUUGUUAGGGAAGAACAAGUACCAUAGUAACUGAUGGUACCUUGACGGUACCUAACCAGAAAGCCACGGCUAACUACGUGCCAGCAGCCGCCGUAAUAC